rnacentral:lncRNA from 1 species
GAUCUGAUCUACUUGUGUUUGUGUCCAAGAUGACUGGUGCUUACCAGUUUGGAGCCAGAAACAGAGCAAGGAGAGUGCAGGGAAUGUCCGUCUUGUACUCAUAAGCAAGGUAGAGUGGACAUGAACAGGAGCCAUGUGAAGCCAGAUCAUGUCAUGGUACCCCAGGGCAUCCGACAGCUUAAAAGGUAAAGUCCACCAACUAUGUUUUGAGUAGAGCCAAAGUGAAAUAUGAAGUGUUUAAUAGCUGAACCCAGAGCAGGACCUGUUUCCAAGCAUGAUCAUGGAU